GAUGAACGCUGGCGGCGUGCCUAAUACAUGCAAGUCGAGCGAACGGACGAGAAGCUUGCUUCUCUGAUGUUAGCGGCGGACGGGUGAGUAACACGUGGAUAACCUACCUAUAAGACUGGGAUAACUUCGGGAAACCGGAGCUAAUACCGGAUAAUAUUUUGAACCGCAUGGUUCAAAAGUGAAAGACGGUCUUGCUGUCACUUAUAGAUGGAUCCGCGCUGCAUUAGCUAGUUGGUAAGGUAACGGCUUACCAAGGCAACGAUGCAUAGCCGACCUGAGAGGGUGAUCGGCCACACUGGAACUGCGACACGGUCCAGACUCCUACGGGAGGCAGCAGUAGGGAAUAUUCCGCAAUGGGCGAAAGCAUGACGGAGCAACGCCGCGUGAGUGAUGAAGGUCUUCGGCUCGUAAAACUCUGUUAUUAGGGAAGAACAUAUGUGUAAGUAACUGUGCAUAUCUUGACGGUACCUAAUCAGAAAGCCACGGCUAACUACGUG
rnacentral:rRNA from 1 species